AAAAACAUGGCUUUUUGACUAAAUAAUUUAAAGUCUAACCUGCUCAAUGAAAUUUAAAUAGCCGCAGUAUUUUAACUGUGCAAAGGUAGCAUAAUCAUUAGUUUCUUAAUUAGAAGCUGGAAUGAAGGGUUGAAUGAGAAAAUAGCUGUCUCUGUAAAAAUUUUAUAGAAUUUUAUUUUUAAGUCAAAAAGCUUAAAUUUAAGUAAAAGACGAGAAGACCCUAUAGAGUUUUAUAUUUAUAGAUAAUAUUAUUUUUAGUAUUUUAAAAUUUAUUAUUUUAUAGUAUUUAGUUGGGGUGAUUAGAAAAUUAGUUAAACUUUUCUUUUAUUAGAGAACAUUUAUUUAUGAAAAAAUGAUCCUUUAGUUAGAUUAUAAGAUUAAAUUACCUUAGGGAUAACAGCGUAAUUUUUUUUGAGAGUUCUUAUCGAAAAAAAAGAUUGCGACCUCGAUGUUGGAUUAAAAUAAAUUUUUGGUGUAGAAGCUAAAUUAAUUAGGUCUGUUCGACCUUUAAAAUUUUACUUGAUCUGAGUU
rnacentral:rRNA from 1 species